CAGUGCCUCAGUGUGAGAGGAAGAUAACUAACCUUGCUUACAGACUGUAUUAGGCCAUUUCUACAUUGCUAUUAAAAAAAAAAAAAAAAGGCUGGGUAAUUUAUAAAGAAAAGAGAUUUGAUUGGCUCACAGCUCUGUAGGCUGUACAUGCAUGGCUCCAGCAUCUGCUUCUGGUGAGGGCCUCAGGAAGCUUCCAAAUAUGGCAGAGGGAGAAGGGGUGCAGGCACGUAACAUGGCAAGAGCAGGAGCAAGAGAGAAGGGGGCAAGGCACCACACUUGCAAACCACCAGAUGUCUCGAGAAUCACUCACUAAUGCAAGGACAGCACCAAGCCAUUCAUGGGAGAUCUGCCCCCAUGAGCCAGACACCUCCCACCAGUUCCUACCUCCAACAUUGGGGAUUACAUUUCAACAUGAGAUUUGGAGGGGACAAACAUCCAAACUAUAUCAGAGACUACUUAGACCCAAAACAAACUAAAGCCGAAGGAAUUACAUAUUCCAUAUUUGGUCUAGUUGUUGGGAGGGAAAAAUUGCUGCAAGAAUUCAGAUAUACUAAAAUUCAAAUGAAAUGGCCUGAUCUAUGCCAGAUUUUAUGAAAUGUGUUUAUUCUAAACCCAAGAAGAGUAUUUUCCUCAGCCUUGUUUUUUCCUUCUAUGUAUUAUGCAUAGAAAGCAACUAUUCUAAGAGGUAAUAUUCUGAAAUAUUACUUUAAAUGGCAAGUUUUGUCAAUUGAAGAUACAACACAUUUUAAGUAAAACAGUAAUCUCUCAGUUUCCAAUAAGUACACUUAAGCUGUGGUUAAAUUAUAUUACCCUAGCAGAAAAAUCAGUGGUCUGAUAAUAUAGAUGAAAACAAUGGUUACAAUUUUGACAUUGCAAAUAAAAACUUCCCAAAAUUACACCAGUACACUGUUUCCAAAAUUGAAGAGAUUAGAGAACAAACAAUCAAAAAAUUACCAUCUCUUUCCACAGGAUAGCAUAAAUACAUGUGUUUUCUAUUAGAGCUUAAAAUAGGAAUUUAGAACUAAACUAUGAUGCAAAAUUGAAAAUGUGUAAUUGAUUUAAAAUGUUUAGCAUAUGCUACAUAACUUUAAUCUUUUCUUUUAAAAAGUUUUCUCUUUAUGAUAUACUAUGUGCACACAACCACUUGACUUUCUCCUGACAUUUCUCCUUAAUGAUAAAUUGGAAAAUUCAAAUUUUGACUCUUCAGCCAUCAGAGUGUGGAGUAUCAAACAUUGAUUAUUCAAACUUAUGAACUAGUGAACCAACCCAUCAUGGCUCAAGAAAAUAAUUAUCCAUCUCUGCAUUUAUAACUCCCUGCUGCUGUUCACCCUGAAGCACACUAUGUAGACUUGCCAUGUGCAAAGCAGCUUCUUAGCCAAUCAAUAUCCACAACUGCUGGGAAGGAUACCUGCUUAUCUCUUUGCGGUGCUACUGCCAAUCACCAGACUAAACAUCAUUUCUAUUCCAUGGCAACGUUUUAAGUCAGACCAUCUGGAAUGUCUCCAGAUUUGGUAAAAAUGCAAAUAAAACUUUGCUUUACAUUCACCUAGCAAUGAAUAAAAAUUAACAUAUUCUUAUUUGACCAUAUUGUUCUCCCCUCCUGGGAAUCCAAUACUUUGUAUACCUUACUGUAGUUCUAAAUAAUGUGGACAGUUUGACUGGUACUUUUACAUCAUAGGUAGGAGUACAUUUGUGUAAUUCCUGUUUUUCCAAAACUCGUAAUGAGUCAUUUAACUAUCAUUAAUUUUAGAAAGUAAACCUUUAGGCUAAAAAAACAAAUACUCUUUAGUUAUUUCAAUCUUUUUCCAGAGGAAAAGAGAAAAAAGCACUGGAGUGUGCUAAAAAGGCUCACAGUAUUUAGGAGCAAUCGCCACAUCUUUCUGUCAUCCUCUUCUCUAGGUCAUGAGAUCAUACAUGUUGCUAUUCUUCUGACUUCUAAGCAGGAUACUCAAGAGAUCCUUCCAAGCAAUGUGAGUCACAGGCCCCCAUCCCUUUCCCCCAUAGCUGCCUCCCAUAGUAAAAUUCUGUGGGAGUCUGUCACAUAUUAAACCUAUAGAUUCCUCUAACCAUAUCAAGUUCACUACCUCUGUAUUGCAGGGCAAGGUAGCAGCUGUCCAUCUCACUUUACCAUUACAUUUAUGUAGCUAUGAAAAUAAUGCAUACAAUUGGAGAAUAUUCAGUUAAAGGGAUGUGUGAGCCUUCUUUAUUUCCCUAUUAGAAGGAUUAGGUUGAAAGAAGAAUAAAUAGUUGAAAGUAUCUAAUAUGCUCUUCAAAGAAAGAUGAGUUUUGAAUCACACCUAUUUUUGUGUUUAACAAUUAUAUUAAUUGCUUUUCUUUUUUAAUUUGUAUAAAUUUAUGGGGUGCAAGUGUAGUUUUGUUACAUGUAUAUAUUGCAUAGUGGUGAAGUCAAGGCUUUUAGGGUAUCCAUCACAAAAAUAAUAUACAUUGUACCCACUAUGAAAUUUCUCAUCAUCCACUCUUAGUUGCUUUUAUGCUCAGUUCUAAGGUGUCUCCAGACAGACAACAUUGCUUUGAGUCAUAUCAGAGUCAGCAUAAGUGGAAGUAGACUAUUUAAAGAUUGUAUUAAUAUCUGAGGCAAGCUAGAAUUACUGAUAAGACUGUAAUAAUGUUACAAGAAGAAGAAGAAGGCACUAUAAAGUAUUCUUCCUAUUAACGUUUUAUUCCCUUUCUCUCACUUUGAAAAAGAUUGUACUGAAACGGUUUCAUAGAGCAAUGUAAUAUAAAACACAACUGAAAAGUAACAUAACAGGUAUCAAACAGCUGGGCUGUUUCGGAUGUCAUUAACCUGUGUAGCUGAUGCUUGGUGGCUCUGGAUGGCCUGUGGCAUGGAAGGUGGGAUGGGGUCAUUCCACCCCUAAAUUUUCAGAAAUUUCUUAAUUUCUUAAUUGAUCUCCCUAUCUUCAGAGCUUCUUCCCCAUAACAUAUCCGGGACUUUGCUUCCAUCUGUCAAGUGCCACUGCUUCUAAAAAAGCACCCAGGAGCUCCCACCUGUCCCCCUUUUCCCCCAUGUUUAGCAAUCAAGGCCCUCCACACUUUGGCCAUACUUCACCUCCUUCCUACUAAUUCCCAAAAUGCAUGGCUCAGCUCUGUCAAAAUGCUAUCACUACCCCCAAGGAACAUACUUUGCCCUAAAUAACAUUCUCAGAGAGACUGAAUGUAGUCACCGAAUUGCUGCUGCUGAAGCAUUUACAGAUCCUAGUUUGAAAAAUGAGUUAGGCCUAGAAUUAUAUAUGUUGCAUCUAACAGAAAUAACCCAAAAGAUGAAAAGAAGUUCCUAUAGCCCUUGCUUACAUACACUCACACACACACACACACACACACACACACACACACACACAACCUGAUGAUAAAAGAAACUCAGCAAUCUAAGAAAGUAAAAUGCAAGGCAGAAGGAACCAAGGCAAGCCAAUGAAUGCCAGUUGCCUUCUUGGUUUUGAAACACAAUGGCCUUGCAAAUGCUAAUGUUGAAGAAAAAACUAUUUCUAAGAUUAUCAAAGGAUAACUGAUUUUUAGUUGUUCAAAAUAAGGAUAAUAUUACUAAUUGCAGUAGAAGAUUGACAAAAGCAGGAAGGAGGAAGGGAAAGGAGUUAGCAGAUUUUUUCAUAUACCCAAGCUUAUAACCCAUACUGCUGGUGGAUUCAUUCUUGUCAAUAAAUUACAUUAUCUGAUAUCCUAAAUUUUCAAGAAAAACAAAAACUUAGCCAAGUAAAUUAAUCUGUACAUAGGAUAUUUACAUUUGUUAGAAUGGCAAAAUAGUUAAAACAUUGUCUCCAUGUUGGGAGACUGAAAAUAACCCCUGAUUACUAGAUGACAAAAUAGAUAAGUAUAGAAUUUAAUAAUUAUAUUAUUUAAUGAUUCAUGAGAUUACAUGUAUGCCAUAGAGUGUUGUCCAUAGGGAGAUGGGUUAUAAUUUUGAACAGAGUGGAAGCCCUAAAAGUGAUAUUUGUGCAUGAGCCAAGGCUUGGCACCAUGUAGCUUCAGGAUAACAGCUCCGCCAUUAUGCACACACAGACAUUUCCAUAUAUCACUGUACCUCGUCUCUUAAGCAGAAACAAGAAUGCAGGGAGAUGUAUGUAUGAGAGAGAUGGAGUAAGGGAAAGAAGUAAGAGGUACAGUCCAAUGGCUUGCCAUAGACGCUUUUGACGUGCAUAGCAGGGAGUUGAUGCCGUGGAUAAUAUGCCACGUAAAUCACGUCUCCACUUAGCAUGUGGCACAAAGCAGAUCUGUGAGAACAACAGUGAUAGAAGCCGGUAACUCUGUUGAUUACUAAUUUUGUCUACCCUAAGCAACCACCCCUUAUUGAGGACAACAAUGAAAAAUAAACACAUCUUAUUUCUGCAUGAAGUUACCACGAAUAUUUUGCAAUGAAAAGUCAAGACUCUCAAUAUGUUGCUCUGGCAGAGGAUCUGAACAAUGUGGAAAUGAGAGACAUCCACAUAGAGCCAGUUAUCUCCAUGUUCACACAGCCUUUGACAUCUUGUGCAACUGGGAUCCAUCCUUCUGGGGCAGCUUUACAAAAGCUGCUUCUUGACAUAUCAAAUCACCACAGCAAAUUGUGUCUUAAAAAUAAAUUGUCACAACUUACAGAUUAGAUACCUCAAGCAUAGUAGAUGUUCAGUAAUGCUUGUUGUUAUGAUUUGAUUUGAUAAGGGCCUUCACUCUUAAAUUAACUUCAAAUCAGAUUAAUCUGAGAUAUUCAAAUUAAAAUGAUGAUGAAGGUGGGGGUGGUGGUGGUGAUGAUGAUGAUGAUUUGUCAAAGGGAUUCUUCAUUUAUAGACAAGGCAGAAGACAUUAUCAGUGGUAUGCAUAUACUAUUCCCCAACUUAGUCAAGUUACCCACCAAAUUCCGUAUGUGAUAAGCAUAUUUCCCUUUUACCGCAUCAUCAAGCAAAUAAAAACACACUUUUCUCAUGUACUCCAAGAAUCAUGCUAUCAUCAUAAAAUUAGCUAUAGAAACUGCAUUCUCUAAAUUUUAAGAGAGAAAAUGUGUCCCUUGACCAAGAUCUCUAUUCCUCACUGGUGCAUUGUAUUCCAGCUAGAUGUUUUCCCAUAGGGUAGCUCUGAUGCUGCCUCCUCUGUGAGCACCUCUCUUUCCAUGCUUUUCCGCUACCUCUCUAUACUCCAGCUAACCUGGUCUAUCUAUCUGAGUCCUUCUACCUGGAAUAUGGUCCUUCUACCUGGAAUAUUUUUUCCUCAGGCCUUCUCUGGCUUCUUCCACUUUAUUCCUUGGAUCUCAGCUUAAUCAUCUCUUUGGCAAGUAUCCAUGAUCCAAACUGGGUUAGUGCCGCUCCCAAGACCCCCUUUAUUAACCCUGUACUGGCACUUAAAACAUACUCUAUUGUAUUUGCCAGCUCCUUGGCCUGUCUGCAAGUUCCUUCAGGCAUGCUGCCAUCAUUCUCAUUUAUCACUGUAUCUCCUGUGCCCAGCUUUAAAAAUAUUAGGUAAAUGAGUGAAAAAAGAAAAUGUACUAUAGUUGCCUCUGUUAGAAUGUUUUUCUCCCAUGCAAUUCCAGAUCUACAAGCAGACCUGCUUAUUGAGUUUAUUGAAUUUCUACCUUUUUUUCUGAAAAUCAGAAUAUCUCAGGGUCCAUAAAUCUGUGAGAAACUCGUGGGAAGCAGAGCAGCACAUAACAGCAAGAUGAUUUUCCCCUUCCUUUUGUCUUUAGGGGUCAAGAAUUCUUGUCUCAUGGUUCAGGCAUUGUGUUAACUAUUUCUGUGCAUUCUUUAAGCAUAGUUGUAACUGUAGUUUUGAUUGAAAUAUUAACCUAUAAGUGAUUUGGAAUAUCAAAAUAAACAUUCAUAUCACA
rnacentral:lncRNA from 1 species